AUCCAGCUGACGAGUCCCAAACAGGACGAAACGUACAUCAAACCGGAA
rfam:Schistosoma rodhaini strain Burundi genome assembly, scaffold: SROB_scaffold0000312